rnacentral:lncRNA from 1 species
UCAAACUUUAUGGCUUAAAGGAACACAUUUGUCAUUUCCCAGGUUUGGAUAUGGCCCUUCCUAGUUCUCUGCUCAGGAGCUCACAGCCAGAAGCCAAGAUAAAAGCUGGACCAGUCACCUCCUUUGAGACUGUUGUCCUUUUUCAAGCUCAGUGGUGGUCAGCAGAAUUCAAGACAGAGGCCCUCAGCUCCAGAGACCCCACUGUCCUCUGAUGCGUGGCACUCUCCAGUGACUCUUCAUGGUGUGACACUCGGAUCCUUCAAGACUAGUGAAGAUCUCUCCUGUGCAUGCAGACAAGAUGGAAUCAUUUUGAGGGGAGGUGAUUGGAUGAGGUGUAUCACUCAGGGUGGGCGUGGAGGACCAUUUUAGAAUUCUGCCACCUGUGUCUCUUGUGAGUUGAACCAGCUGAAGGCUCUCCUCGAUCUCUCAGGAUCCAAGUGAAUAUCAGUGGGCAAGAGGCAGAGAACAGGAAGUCAAGACAUCACUGUGUUGCUGCUGGCAGCAGCAGGUUAUGGACCCCAUCCUGUGAUGUGUCAAAUGCGUGUGACUCCCCUCAGACCCUCUUGACGUUUGUCUGCACACCCAGGUGGGUGCGUUUGGAUUCCUCCAGGUGGCAGUGGCUGCCCUGGAGUCACUUCUGCAGGAAGGAGGCUCACCCUGGAAUAGCUGAUCUACAUUUCCGUAGGAUCAAUGCUGUGGAGACUGCAUACACUGAGUUCUCUGGUUGAAAGAAAGAAGCUUAAGCUGACUUCUGAACUCUGAGAUCCCACUGCAGAGAGGUAAGAAAAUUAAGAUUACUUUUUGGGUACUUGUGUGACUCAGCAGUCUGCCUUG